rnacentral:misc_RNA from 1 species
GAUGAAGAACGUAGUGAAAUGCGAUAAGUAAUGUGAAUUGCAGAAUUCAGUGAAUCAUCGAAUCUUUGAACGCAUCUUGCGCUCCUUGGUAUUCCGAGGAGCAUGCCUGUUUGAGUGUCAUUUUAACUUCUCAACCAUAUCGAAUUGUUUUUCGAGGUGGCUUGGACAUGGGGGUUUUUGCAGGCUUUAAUAAUGAAGUCGGCUCCUCUGAAAUGCAUUAGUGGUAUCUGAAGCAGAACUGCUACUAUUAGGUGUGAUAAUUAUCUAUGCCUCUUGGUAUACUGCAUGAACAGAUUGCGCUGCUUCCAACUUGUACACCCUUUGGUGUUUGACAAAUUUGGCCUCAAAUCAGGUAGGACUACCCGCUGAACUUAAGCAUAUCAAUAAGCGGAGGA